ACUGGGUGCGGUGGCGCGUGCCUGUAGUCCCAGCUACUCAGGAGGCUGAGGUGGGAGGAUCGUUUAAGCCCAGGAGUUCUGGUCUGUAGUGCCCUAUGCCAAGCGGGUGUCCGCACUAAGUUCGGCUUCAGUAUGGUGACCUCCCAGGAGCAGGGAAACACCAGGUUGCCUAAGGAACCUGGUGUUCUGGCCCAGGUUGGAAACGGAGCAGGUCAAAACUCCGGUGCUGAUCAGUCGUGAGAUUGUGCCUGUGAAUAGCCACUGCACUCCAGCCUGGGCAACAUAGCCAGACCCCGUCUCAA
ensembl:misc_RNA Metazoa_SRP Metazoan signal recognition particle RNA